GCUGGGUGUGGUGGCACAUGCCUGUAAUCCCAGCAGCUCGGGAGGCUGAGGUAGGAAGAUCAUGAGUUCGAAGCCAGCCUCAGCAAAAGCAAGGCACUAAGCAGCUCAGUGAGACCCUGUCUCUU
rnacentral:sRNA from 1 species